CAGAAUGAGCUAUCAAUAGUUAUCAAGAUAACAAACUAGGUUAACCAGCUUAAUACACGCUGUUUUCUAAAUACAUUAAAUGUGAGACACAAGAGUAAAGCCAUUUCUACGAAAAAUAUUUUAUAUUAUUUUAGUGAUAUCUGUCGGAUUGACAUUUUCAGUGGUAUGAUAAUUUCAUGUUUGUGGAGUUUUUCAAUUAAGAAUUGUGAAUAAUUAUGAAUCAGAGGGGGUGUCAAAUGGACAAAAAGGGCCCUCCAAAGGGUCCAGUCCGGCCCCUGGAUAGCUAUGUGGAAAAUGUGGAACUCUCAGAGGAGGAGGCCAUAUAUGGUUGAGCAGCUUGACGCCUGAUGUCAGACCGGUGACUGAUGAUCCUGCUGAGGCAAUAUAUCAACACAUUACAGGUACAGCCGGCUUACCAGCAGCAUGGAAUGAUGGGAAAUGGUGCAGUGCCGCUGUGUGUCGGUCGGUGACAUUGAGAGCUGAAAAAGGAGCAGAUAGGAGGUCGACGGGGAGCGGACGUGGACGAAGAGGAGGUUCAAUGGAGACAUCAGGAUGAGUUCCGGAAGAUGACAGACAUAAUAAUCAUUUGUUACUGUUGCAGUAUAAAAACUGUACGGCCAGAUGAGGGUCAUCCUUCAUGUGAAGACAGAUUGUUGAUUUCACACAGAAGUCCAGAGCUGUAACUUGUAAUUUCAAACUGCCAAAGCAAAUUAAAUCUUUUAAAACGACAGAUAUUUCUCCUGUACUUCCUUCUACAAAAAAUUGAACACAACACUACUGGCAGUCCUAAAAUUGAUUGCUAAAGUCCCACUCAAGCAGGCCUAGAGACCGGUCAGUGACCCCUUGGUGACUGUCAAGUCGUUAUGGAGAAGUGCAACUGUGUGAACAGGCAAGCCAAUGAAGCAAACAAACUUUCCAAAGCUCUCUUUCCACUCCCCCAACUUUCUCCUCCCCUGUACAUAAAGUAUACGGGAACUGAGACGGUUGUUCACAUGAGCAUGGAGCCGUGUCAACCCCUUUCAUAGGGAAGAGGACGGCCACUGUUUGACACAAGCAUUACAACUGCCAGCCAAUACUGGCUAACAACAGAGUAACAACAGAAGCUUCUGAGGACAACACAGAGGAAAUGUUACCCAUAGUGACAUACUUGAGUUAUCAAAGAACAGAGGUUAUGAUAAUAACCUCACGUUUGCAUGGAAGAUGCUAACUUGUCUGCAUACAAGCAAACAUUUGUCAACCAGUUGGGGAAUAUACAUUUAUGUUGCCAGGGGGCACCAACCAGUCUCCAGGUUAAGUGUCAAAACAUUCAGCAAUUUGGGAGCAACAGACUAUAGUCUUGACCUAUAGGAAUAUGUUUUCAAGA